rnacentral:lncRNA from 1 species
AGGAGCCUCCUCCACUGUCACUUGCUGACUGACUCUCCCCACACGUGGCCGUCCAGGGUCGGCCACACAUGCUGUGCUCAAUCCAGGCCCCACAGCUGCUUUCUGACAUGAAAUUCCUACCUCCUUCAUGAAACCCCUCAGAAAGGCAAGGAAGAGAUCUGUGAUGAGCAGAUUUGCCCUGAGUUAACAGCUGUGCCAGCCUUCCUCUGUUUUGUACAUGGGUUGCCGCCACAGCAUAGCCGCCCAUGAGAAGUGUAGGUCUGUGCCGGGAAGUGAACACAGGCUGCCGAAGUGGAGCACGUCGAACGAACUCAACCACCAGGCCGUGGGGGUGGCCCCAGUAACUUCUUCCUAAGGUAUCCACUUUAGAGGUGUUUAGUACACAAAGGAGGGUAACGCUGAGUAAACAGCUGUGGGUAAAUACAUAAUCAUAGUUAAAAGAUAAACAGCAAAGACGCCUCGUUAGAAAGACAAGGAAGCGACACUGAAUUUGUAAAAUUCUAGAUGACGACUUUCUGGGGCGAAGCGUCUGAAACAGAAGCACCUGGAGAGUCUUCAAGGGUGAGGGUCCCCUCAGGGAGUGUGCGUGUGGCUCACAGACGCAAAGAGCUGACAGGAGGUGUCAGUGGACACAAAGCAUCAAAGCCGCCACCUAAAGGUUAAUGUGAAAUAUCCUUUGUUUUUACUUAGUUUUAUUUAAAGUCCCGACGUCCAGGAGCCCACCAUCUUCUGCAGUGAUGUCCCCCCGGAGGCUCGUGGGCCACCGUCUGUGGAAAUGACGGCCGUGUGUGCAGAGUGAACCCCUGCUCCAGCAGCUCUCCUCCGACUGGAGGGUCUCGGUGUCACGUGAACACACACCGACCGCUGUCACAUCCUCGGACACGGCCGUUCUCGGCUCUUCUCUGUGGAGCUGCCCGGGGAACGGCGUUCGGGGUGGUGUUACCCGUGGCCGUCUGGUGGAUCCGGGGCAAGGCCCUGCAGCUGAGCCGGGGCCUGCCGUCUGGGUCACAGGCUCACCAGCACCCAAUGGACAUGCAGGGAUUCAGCAGACAGCACCCAAUGGACGUGCGGGCGACUCCCAACGGACAUGCGGGGCUCAGCGGGCAGCACCUAACAGAUGUGCGGGGCUCAGCAGGUGGUUCUCUGAAGCUGCAGCCUGGAGGAGAUUCUGACCAUUUUUUCCAACACUUAAAAUCAUACCACUUGUGCCUCCUCCAGCAGAGUUUCUGGUCUAUGUAAAAAUAGCAACAACCCCCACUGCUUCUUAUUUUAAAAAGGGAACGCCCAGUGAACAUAUUUUUAUCUCCUCUGUCUGUCCUCGUGGUCUUUGCCAAAUGUUGCCUUGAGUGCUUUGUGGAACAAAGUAUAAAGAAAGAAAGAGGGGCCGGCUCCGUGGCCGAGUGGUUAAGUUUGCGCACUCCGCUGCGGCGGCCCAGGGUUCGGAUCCUGGGCCCGGACAUGGCACCGCUCAUCCGGCCGCGUUGAGGCGGCGUCCCACAUCCCACAACAAGAUGGACCGGCAACUAAGAUAUACAACUAUGUACAGGAGGAGUUUGGGGAGAUAAAGCAGAAAAAAAAAAAAAAAAAGAUUGGCAACAGUUGUUAGCCCAGGUACCAAUCCUUAAAAAAAAAGAGGAAGAUUGGCAACAG